rnacentral:rRNA from 1 species
UACAGAGGUCCCAAGCGUUGUUCGGAUUCACUGGGCGUAAAGGGCGCGUAGGCGGAUUUUUAAGUCAGGGGUGAAAUCCCAAGGCUCAACCUUGGAACUGCCUUUGAUACUGGGGAUCUUGAGUCCGGGAGAGGUGAGUGGAACUGCGAGUGUAGAGGUGAAAUUCGUAGAUAUUCGCAAGAACACCAGUGGCGAAGGCGGCUCACUGGCCCGGUACUGACGCUGAGGCGCGAAAGCGUGGGGAGCAAACAGG